rnacentral:rRNA from 1 species
CAUUCAUAAUAAGUGUUUUAUGGCACUUUUUAAAUCCAUAUCCACCUUGUGUGCAAUGUCAGUCGAUCUUCUUCAUGGAGAUCGGCCAAACAUCAACCUUAUUUUUUAACUCUUUGUCUGAAAAAUAUUAUGAAUAAACAAUUCAAAAUACAACUUUCAACAACGGAUCUCUUGGCUCUCGCAUCGAUGAAGAACGCAGCGAAAUGCGAUACGUAAUGUGAAUUGCAGAAUUCAGUGAAUCAUCGAAUCUUUGAACGCAUAUUGCGCUCUUUGGUAUUCCGAAGAGCAUGCUUGUUUGAGUAUCAGUAAACACCUCAAAACUCUUGAUCUUUUUCAAGCGUUUUGGACUUGAGCAAACCCAACGCCUUUUCUUUUAAGAUCUGUUGCGGCGGGUUGCUUGAAAUGCAGGUGCAGCUGGACAAUCUCCUGAGCUAAAAGCAUAUUUAUUUAGUCCCGUCAAACGGAUUAUUGCUUUUUGCUGCAGCUAACAUAAAGGGAGUUUUGACCAUUAUGGCUGACUGAUGCAGGAUUUCACAGAGAAAAGGCCGGCAACGGUUUUGUCUCUGUCAAACUCGAUCUCAAAUCAAGUAAGACUACCCGCUGAACUUAAGCAUAUCAUA